rnacentral:rRNA from 1 species
GACGCUGAUGGAGGGGGAUAACUACUGGAAACGGUAGCUAAUACCGCAUAACGUCGCAAGACCAAAGAGGGGGACCUUCGGGCCUCUUGCCAUCGGAUGUGCCCAGAUGGGAUUAGCUAGUAGGUGGGGUAACGGCUCACCUAGGCGACGAUCCCUAGCUGGUCUGAGAGGAUGACCAGCCACACUGGAACUGAGACACGGUCCAG